rnacentral:rRNA from 1 species
GAUGAACGCUGGCGGCGUGCCUAAUACAUGCAAGUCGAGCGAACAGACGAGGAGCUUGCUCCUCUGACGUUAGCGGCGGACGGGUGAGUAACACGUGGAUAACCUACCUAUAAGACUGGGAUAACUUCGGGAAACCGGAGCUAAUACCGGAUAAUAUAUUGAACCGCAUGGUUCAAUAGUGAAAGACGGUUUUGCUGUCACUUAUAGAUGGAUCCGCGCCGCAUUAGCUAGUUGGUAAGGUAACGGCUUACCAAGGCAACGAGGCGUAGCCGAACUGAGAGGGUGGUCGGCCACACUAGAACGGAGACAGGGACCAGACUACUGCGGGAGGCAGCAGUAGGGAAUCUGCCGCAAUGGGCGAAAGCCUGACGGAGCAACGCCGCGUGAGUGAUGAAGGUCUUCGGAUCGUAAAACUCUGUUAUUAGGGAAGAACAAAUGUGUAAGUAACUAUGCACGUCUUGACGGUACCGAAUCAGAAAGCCACGGCUAACUACGUG